rnacentral:lncRNA from 1 species
UAUUAUAUAAAUAAUUAAUCAUCCAAACAUUGUACUAAAAUAAACAUUGUAAUAAAAUUCUCAUCCGAAGAUAAUCAAUAUGCUAAGUACAAUAGUUCUAUCUAAAGUCAAAAGAAAACAAAAAUAACAUUAAAAAAAAAACUACCAUAAACCAAUAUGCCCAUACAACACCUUACGAAACUAACUCUGUCCAUGUCAACACCACUCAAUAGAUCCAUGUACAGCAAGAGUACCUGAGAUUGAGAGUCAUUCACGAUAGCUUUCAAGUUUCAACUAAUAGCAAACAUGAACAAACAAGCAGACAACAUUAUAAUUUUAUAAUCCAGUUAUGCCAUCAAUUUUGCUGUUGUAGGAAGAAACUUAGAACUUUUAACUCAUAUUAAAACACUAAUAAUUGAUAUCUUCAAUAACUUACAAAGUAGGUGGAUGUAAAUAGACUUACUUGGGAGAUUCUUGUAUAGAAGGUUUUUAUAUCUGCAAUCAUCAAAUUUUGACACUCAAAACCAAAUGUACCAAAAAAGAAUGAGCAAGAUUUUGAAGGCCAAUGUUGUCCAUACCUAGCAAGAUUCAGAAUCCUAGUACACAAAAGUGAUUACAGAACUUUAUGAGCAAAUUAAUCAUACAGAAGAUUUUCCCCCACCUAACAAUAAUGGAAAUUCAGAUAGCAUAGAGCCUAACCAUAAAUAAACAUAACAUAAAACUCAC